UACGUAGGGGGCUAGCGUUGUCCGGAAUCAUUGGGCGUAAAGAGCGUGUAGGCGGCCAGAUAGGUCCGUUGUGAAAACUGGAGGCUUAACCUCCAGCUGUCGAUGGAAACCAUCUGGCUAGAGUCCGGAAGAGGAGAGUGGAAUUCCUGGUGUAGCGGUGAAAUGCGCAGAUAUCAGGAAGAACACCCGUGGCGAAGGCGGCUCUCUGGGACGGUACUGACGCUGAGACGCGAAAGCGUGGGGAGCGAACAGG
rnacentral:rRNA from 1 species